UGAGGUUGUUUUUGUCUGUUCUGCUUGUUUUCUACCUCAGUUUCUCUAAUUGCUGUAUAUCCAGCUGAAAUGCACUGGAUUUUCUAACAAGAUCAUUGGUAGCUUCAAAAUCCACCGCCCUGAGCAGACAAGAGCUGUACCCUCUGAGGCAGCUCCCAUACGUGCACUGCUGCUGAGGCUGCCAACCUUCAUAAAUGCCUCCAAAUUCAACCUGAUCAAUGGAAGAAGAUGCUUCUCCUUGUCUGCUUUUCCAUCAGAAAAGAAACAUCUCCUAAGUUGCACGGCACACAGAGGCAGAGGAGCAGUGAGAACUGAGCUGGGUAGGGAGCAGACAAUGCAUCGUGAUGCCUUUAAGUUGCUGGAUGAAGUUCAUUUCUCCUUGUCUGUACAAGGCUGGACUCUGCAUUUUCAUGGUUUCCUUGCUCAGCUCUCACUGUGAAGCCAAGUCUGCACCGUUUGGUGUCUGCAGCUUUGUUUCUGGGUCCAGGCAGUGGGAUGGAGAAAGGAUGGGGGAGUUCCAACAGCCAGCAUGGAAGAACUAGAGCGAGAAGCUCCUUUCCCAAAGAGGAGCAAGCAAUUGCUGCUUGAAUUUAAACCUUUUUUGGGAUAGGAGAAGGUUGAGCGUGCCCAUGGGCAAAAGGAUUUCCCCC
rnacentral:lncRNA from 1 species